rnacentral:rRNA from 1 species
AUAUAACAUUACUCGGCCAAAAAACAAUAGUUUUUAAACCAAAGAUUUUGGCGGUAUUUUAUAGAAUCAGGGGAGCCUGUUACUUAAUAUGAUAAUCCACAAAUAUCUUACCAUCUUUAGAUAUCAGCUUGUAUACUACCGCCAAGUUUAACUUUAAGACAUAGACAACAAAUAAUACAUCUAUAAAAAUCCAGGCCAAAGUGCAGCUAAUAAUAUGGAGAAAAUGGGCUUCAUAUAUUUCAAUAUUUAACAUAUAAAAAUAUAAUAGAACUUGCCAGUAAUAAAUUUUUACUAUAAAUUUAUAAACAACUAAUAAAAUAUGCAC